AUUGAACGCUGGCGGCAUGCCUUACACAUGCAAGUCGAACGGCAGCACGGGUGCUUGCACCUGGUGGCGAGUGGCGAACGGGUGAGUAAUACAUCGGAACGUACCUUAUCGUGGGGGAUAACGCAGCGAAAGCUGUGCUAAUACCGCAUACGCCCUGAGGGGGAAAGCGGGGGAUCGAAAGACCUCGCGCGAUUAGAGCGGCCGAUGCCUGAUUAGCUUGUUGGUGGGGUAAAAGCCCACCAAGGCGACGAUCAGUAGCUGGACUGAGAGGACUCACAGCCAAACUGGGACUGAGACACGGCCCAGACUCCUACGGGAGGCAGCAUUGGGGAAUUUUGGACAAUGGGGGCAACCCUGAUCCAGCAAUGCCGCGUGAGGGAAGAAGGCCUUCGGGUUGUAAAGCUCUUUUGUCAGGGAAGAAACACCGGCUCUAACACAGUCCGGGAAUGACGGUACCUGAAGAAUAAGCACCGGCUAACUACGUGCCAGCAGCCGCCGUAA
rnacentral:rRNA from 1 species